GACGAACGCUGGCGGCGUGCCUAAUACAUGCAAGUUGAGCGCUGAAGGUUGGUACUUGUACCAACUGGAUGAGCAGCGAACGGGUGAGUAACGCAUGGGGAAUCUGCCUUUGAGCGGGGGACAACAUUUGGAAACGAAUGCUAAUACCGCAUAAAAACUUUAAACACAAGUUUUAAGUUUGAAAGAUGCAAUUGCAUCACUCAAAGAUGAUCCCGCGUUGUAUUAGCUAGUUGGUGAGGUAAAGGCUCACCAAGGCGAUGAUACAUAGCCGACCUGAGAGGGUGAUCGGCCACAUUGGGACUGAGACACGGCCCAAACUCCUACGGGAGGCAGCAGUAGGGAAGCUUCGGCAAUGGACGAAAGUCUGACCGAGCAACGCCGCGUGAGUGAAGAAGGUUUUCGGAUCGUAAAACUCUGUUGGUAGAGAAGAACGUUGGUGAGAGUGGAAAGCUCAUCAAGUGACGGUAACUACCCAGAAAGGGACGGCUAACUACGUG
rnacentral:rRNA from 1 species